rnacentral:piRNA from 1 species
UGACACAUGUAUGCGUGCACUCAAGGGCUU